rnacentral:rRNA from 1 species
UACGUAGGGUGCAAGCGUUGUCCGGAAUUAUUGGGCGUAAAGAGCUCGUAGGCGGUCUGUCGCGUCGGCUGUGAAAUCCCGAGGCUCAACCUCGGGUCUGCAGUCGAUACGGGCAAACUAGAGUAUUGCAGGGGAGACUGGAAUUCCUGGUGUAGCGGUGAAAUGCGCAGAUAUCAGGAGGAACACCGGUGGCGAAGGCAGGUCUCUGGGCAAUAACUGACGCUGAGGAGCGAAAGCGUGGGGAGCGAACAGG